rnacentral:tRNA from 1 species
ACCUGGGUGGCUCAGUCGGUUGAGCGUCUGACUUCGGCUCAGGUCAUAAUCUCACAGUUUGUGAGUUCAAGCCCCGCAUCGGGCU